rnacentral:rRNA from 1 species
ACUGGGCGUAAAGGGCACGCAGGCGGUGACUUAAGUGAGGUGUGAAAGCCCCGGGCUUAACCUGGGAAUUGCAUUUCAUACUGGGUCGCUAGAGUACUUUAGGGAGGGGUAGAAUUCCACGUGUAGCGGUGAAAUGCGUAGAGAUGUGGAGGAAUACCGAAGGCGAAGGCAGCCCCUUGGGAAUGUACUGACGCUCAUGUGCGAAAGCGUGGGGGGCAAACAGGAUUAGAUACCCUGGUAGUCCACGCUGUAAACGAUGUCGAUUUGGGGGUUGAGCUUUGAGCUUGGCGCCCGUAGCUAACGUGAUAAAUCGACCGCCUGGGGAGUACGGCCGCAAGGUUAAAACUCAAAUGAAUUGACGGGGGCCCGCACAAGCGGUGGAGCAUGUGGUUUAAUUCGAUGCAACGCGAAGAACCUUACCUACUCUUGACAUCCAGAGAACUUUCCAGAGAUGGAUUGGUGCCUUCGGGAACUCUGAGACAGGUGCUGCAUGGCUGUCGUCAGCUCGUGUCGUGAG